ACGCUCAGGUGCGAAAGCGUGGGGAGCAAACAGGAUUAGAUACCUGGUAGUCACGCUGUAAACGAUGUCGAUUUGGAGGUUGUUCCCUUGAGGAGUGGCUUCCGGAGCUAACGCGUUAAAUCGACCGCCUGGGGAGUACGGCCGCAAGGUUAAAACUCAAAUGAAUUGACGGGGGCCCGCACAAGCGGUGGAGCAUGUGGUUUAAUUCGAUGCAACGCGAAGAACCUUACCUACUCUUGACAUCCAGAGAAUUUAGCAGAGAUGCUUUAGUGCCUUCGGGAACUCUGAGACAGGUGCUGCAUGGCUGUCGUCAGCUCGUGUUGUGAAAUGUUGGGUUAAGUCCCGCAACGAGCGCAACCCUUAUCCUUUGUUGCCAGCACAUUAUGGUGGGAACUCAAAGGAGACUGCCGGUGAUAAACCGGAGGAAGGUGGGGAUGACGUCAAGUCAUCAUGGCCCUUACGAGUAGGGCUACACACGUGCUACAAUGGCGUAUACAAAGAGAAGCGACCUCGCGAGAGCAAGCGGAACUCAUAAAGUACGUCGUAGUCCGGAUUGGAGUCUGCAACUCGACUCCAUGAAGUCGGAAUCGCUAGUAAUCGUAGAUCAGAAUGCUACGGUGAAUACGUUCCCGGGCCUUGUACACACCGCCCGUCACACCAUGGGAGUGGGUUGCAAAAGAAGUAGGUAGCUUAACCUUCGGGAGGGCGCUUACCACUUUGUGAUUCAUGACUGGGGUGAAGUCGUAACAAGGUAACCA
rnacentral:rRNA from 1 species